rnacentral:rRNA from 1 species
UGAGGAACCUGCCUCAAAGAGGGGGACAACAGUUGCAAACGACUGCUAAUACCGCAUAAGCCCACAGCUCGGCAUCGAGCAGAGGGAAAAGGAGCAAUCCGCUUUGAGAUGGCCUCGCGUCCGAUUAGCUAGUUGGUGAGGUAACGGCCCACCAAGGCGACGAUCGGUAGCCGGACUGAGAGGUUGAACGGCCACAUUGGGACUGAGACACGGCCCAGACUCCUACGGGAGGCAGCAGUGGGGAAUAUUGCACAAUGGGGGAAACCCUGAUGCAGCGACGCCGCGUGGAGGAAGAAGGUCUUCGGAUUGUAAACUCCUGUUGUUGAGGAAGAUAAUGACGGUACUCAACAAGGAAGUGACGGCUAACUACGUGCCAGCAGCCGCGGUAAAACGUAGGUCACAAGCGUUGUCCGGAAUUACUGGGUGUAAAGGGAGCGCAGGCGGGAGAACAAGUUGGAAGUGAAAUCCAUGGGCUCAACCCAUGAACUGCUUUCAAAACUGUUUUUCUUGAGUAGUGCAGAGGUAGGCGGAAUUCCCGGUGUAGCGGUGGAAUGCGUAGAUAUCGGGAGGAACACCAGUGGCGAAGGCGGCCUACUGGGCACCAACUGACGCUGAGGCUCGAAAGUGUGGGUAGCAAACAGGAUUAGAUACCCUGGU